AUCCAGCUGACGAGUCCCGAAUAGGACGAAACGCGCGUCCUGGAU
rfam:Schistosoma rodhaini strain Burundi genome assembly, scaffold: SROB_scaffold0026466